AUCAGCAGCCAUAUCACCCUGUAGCCCAAGACUGGUUGCCCACUGAAGCUAAGCAGGGCUGAGCCUGGUCAGUACCUGGAUGGGAGACCUCCUGAGAAAGCUAGGUUGCUGCUGGAA
rnacentral:rRNA from 1 species